ACUUGGAAACAGGUGCUAAUACCGGAUAAGAAAGACGGAUCGCAUGAUCAGCUUUUAAAAGGCGGCGUAAGCUGUCGCUAUGGGAUGGCCCCGCGGUGCAUUAGCUAGUUGGUAAGGUAAAGGCUUACCAAGGCGAUGAUGCAUAGCCGAGUUGAGAGACUGAUCGGCCACAUUGGGACUGAGACACGGCCCAAACUCCUACGGGAGGCAGCAGAC
rnacentral:rRNA from 1 species